UUCACCUUUUCCAUUCAUUAUAUUUUUCUUUCCUUCCUUCUUUCUUCUUUUCCUCUCUCUCUCUCUCUCUCUCUAAAAGCUUUCUAUUUCUAAGGAUGAGAGCAAGACACAAGUUUCAACAAGGAAUGGUGAUAUUUUUACCAAAAAAACAAGGUCACCUUCAAGCCAUUAUUACAAUGCAUGGGUCCAGAAAAGGAGCAUCAACCAUGUUUAACCUUUCAAUUCAAGGAAAUCCAAAAGAAAACUUGUCUGGCUUUGAAAAUGGAGAAAUAUGCUGUUGCAGGCAUCAGUUUCGUUGUUUUAUAUGUUGUUGGGGUGAGAAAGUAAGAGCAUAAAUAUUCUUUCAGAUCUGUGAAAGAGUUCCCCUCGUGACUGCUCUUCUGUACAAAAUAUCCACUGUAUUAUUGGAGCUAGCUAGCUACCCCUGUCUCUCUCUUCCUCUAGAAAUGACUUUUUUUGUACCCGGAAAGUGUUCCCAGAAAAAGCUGAUUGCUCUUAGAGCAAGCAAUUUUUUUUUUUUUUUUUAAAUUUUCCCCACAGCUCAUAAUUUAUAAACAUGAUAACUUCUUAUAACUUGAUAAGCAUGAAAGAAGGAGAAAAUGAGAACGCCGAAAAGGAAGAGAGAAAGAGAAGUACCAAUUCCCUGAUUUAAUUUCUUUUA